AAAACAUGGAGGCCAGUGAGGACAAAAAUAAAAAGUUAUAAGACUUUUAAAUAUGUGGAUUUUAGGGUUAUCUUUGGCGCCCCCUAGAACCUAAACCGUGGGGUGCAGCGUCAUGAUUUGAAUAACUUUUAAUGGCCAUGGGGUGUAGAUUGGCCUGAGCAAAUGUGGUGCCGGUGGAACGAAAGCCUUCGGAGGAAUUAGCGAAAUUCCAAUGUGUGCGAAUCUGCAAAAAAUGCGAAAUAACCCUUCAACCGUACAUUUUACAGAUACGUGGCCAUUGACUUUUUCGAAGAUCUUAUUGAAAUACACGUGUAUGUAAAAUUUUGUGUCAAUACGACAAAACAUACAGGCGUAGCACUCAACAAUGUGUAUUUUCACCUUAGUGGACAAGAAAAAAUUGACUUUUUUCUCCUGCCAUGGGGGGCGCUCUUUUGCCGAGUAAAAAUUCCUUCACAAAUGUGUUGAUGGCUGGACAUUGCAUCAUCCUAGAAAACUUGGAGGCCAGUGGGGACAAAAAUAAAAAGUUAUAAGACUUUUAAAUAUGUGGAUUUUACGGUUAUCUUUGGCUCCCCCUAGAACCUAAACCGUGGGGUGCAGCGUCAUGAUUUGAAUAACUUUUAAUGGCCAUGGGGUGUAGAUUGGCCUGAGCAAAUGUGGUGCCGGUGGAACGAAAGCCUUCGGAGGAGUUAGCGAAAUUCCAAUGUGUGCGGAUCGGCAAAAAAUGCGGAAUAACCCUUUAACCGUACAUUUGACAGAUACGCGCGCAUUGACUUUUUCGUAGAUCUUAUUGAGAUACAUGUGUGUGUCAAUUUUUGUGUCAUUUUGCCAAAGCGUACAGGUGUUACACUCAACAAUGUGUAUUUUCACCUUUGGGGACAAGAAAAAAUGGACUUUUUUCUCCUGCCAUGGGGGGCGCUCUUUUGGGGAGUAAAAAUUCCUUCACAAAUGUGUUGAUGGCUGGACAUUGCAUCAUCCUAGAAAACUUGGAGGCCAGUGAGGGCAAAAAUAAAAAGUUAUAAGACUUUUAAAUAUGUGGAUCUUAGGGUUAUCUUUGGCGCCCCCUAGAACCUAAACCUUGGGGUGCAGCGUCAUGAUUUGAAUAACUUUUAAUGGCCAUGGGGUGUAGAUUGGCCUGAGCAAAUGUGGUGCCGGUGGAACGAAAGCCUUCGGAGGAGUUAGCGAAAUUCCAAUGUGUGCGGAUCGGCAAAAAAUGCGAAAUAACCCUUUAACCGUACAUUUGACAGAUACGCCCGCACUGACUUUUUCGUAGAUCUUAUUGAGAUACAUGUGUGUGUCAAUUUUUGUGUCAUUUUGACAAAGCGUACAGGCGUGACAGUCAAUAGUGUGAAUUUUCACCUUAGGGGGCGCUAUGGAGCCAUUUUGCAUUUUCUUGUUUGGGCGACUUCGGAAUAUCAAAUUUUCACCAGGCCCGGUCGUCCUGCCAAAUUUCAUGAGUUUUCGCCAGUGGGAAGUGGGCCAUUUUCCAGUUCAAAGGGGAGGAAAAAUAAUAAUAAUAAUAACUAGGACCCCGUUGGGGCACUGGCGGGCCCGAGCCGUGUCGCGUCCCCCCCCCAACGUGCUGCCUCCCCGUCCCAUUUGUGUCCUCUGGCCAUCGCCCUCUCUGGUAACGCCCAUCACUGCAAAGACCCUUUUCCUUCAUCGGCGUUUGCUGUUCUUCUUGCCAGUGCGUGUUGCUUUCACUUACACUUGCCACAGCCAGCCUCGUGAGUGCCUAGCCUAUUGGAUAUCACUGUCACCUACACAGGACAGUCAUUACCUUUCUAUUAAUACUUUGUGUUUCAAUUUCACAUUAAUUUCCAUAUUGUAUAAACGACUGGAAAAAACUUGAGCCCCUGCCCCUGUAUAAUCAUGUGCAUAUCUCUGUUCUAGCUCCAAAGUGAAUCUUCACUGCUCAUGUUCUCCUCAGAAGCACUCACCUCACUCCCCUCAGGUUACUGUACACAUGCACCAACUGCCUGCUUCAGGUUUGGAUGGAGCUUCAUGGUUGUCUUUUGGAGAAAUGACCAGUCAAGUUGUGUUUGAAAUUUGAUUUUUUUCAGGGGCAAAAGGAGCCUCUGCAUUCUUGUCAAAUAUGUAAAUAGCAUGUUUUUGCAGGUGCUAAAAACCAGACUCUGAGUGUGUGUGUGUGUGUGUGUGUGUGUGUGUGUGUGUGUGUCUGUGUGUGCGUUCAAGUCACAUGACAUAUUUAACCGGAUGUAGCUGCAAGACGGAGCCUCGUUGACUCUCCGUUUCAACUUAUCUCAAAAGUGAGGACCUCAACCUAUAUACCAGUUUUUAAAUUGUGUUGAUAGGCCAAAUAAAACCAGAGUUAUGAUAAAUUAUGUCCGCGAUACUUUUUUUCUGCUUAUUUUGAUCACGUUCGGCGCUCGAUCGCGCUGUAUGAGACAGGAAAACAUAGCAUGCAGACAUUAGCGACAGGUCUUACAGGCGGAAAAGGCUUGCCAAAAGAAAAAAAAAACACACCACAACAUCUCUCCUAUUGGUGGAAAACUUCACCACAACAACCAAUCCAAAAUUAUAUGGUGACUGAUUGACAAGGGGCGGGUGCUUACGUUCUUCCUGCAACAUGAGAAGCGAGGGAGGGACUCUCAGCAGGGAUGCAGUCUGGGACACGUAGUUGCAAACCUAGCGACUUUGUUGUUAGAUUCAAUGACUUUUCAGACCCCCUAACGACUUUUUUUUUAGAAAGAAAGGGACUUUUAUCGACUUCUUCUGGAGUUUAGAGACUCUGACAUGAAGCAGGCUUUCCUUACUGAGGAGUUAGCAACGCUGCUAAGGGUGCAGAGCCACACAUGCGCUCAGAGCUCUGCAUGGGAGACUGAAGCUGACAGAGCUGCAGCAGUUAGCAGGUUUCACCCUCAGAGACCACCAGGGGUUCAUGUUGAGGCAUUUUAAUUUUUUUUUUUUUUGUGCCAUAGACACUGUCAGCGCAAUCUGCAGUUACACUAACAAAAAUGCUGCAAAAAACAAAGAAUUAUGGAAAAAUUACACAUGGACUGACAUAGAGGAGGAUCUAGUUUUUUACAUCAUGUUUUACAUCAUGCAUCAUUUACAUCAUGUUUUUUUGUAGUGGCAUAAAUAAAAAGUGACAUUUGUGAGACUAUACAGUGUUUUGUAAAUAAUUUUACAAAGAACGCCUGGGCCAUUGCCUGCAUUUUGAUGUAAAUAGAGGUAAAUCACUAUGUUCUUUGUUAAAAAUUUGCAUAUGUUUUGAAGUUUACAAUUUUUAUUUGAAGUUUAAGUUUUAAAAACAGUUCAUCACACAUAUUUGUGGUUUUCACAGUAAAAAUGUUACUUUUUUCCACUCGGAUUUUAUGUUUUGUGUGUGAAUUUGGGUCCAUUGUGUAAAUUCAGUAUGUCAACAUGAUAAAAUAACUGUAAAUUCGCACAGGUGAGGUUGUGCUGAAAAAAAUGAUACCAGGCAAGGCACGUGAUUGUCAAAUUUUGUAUCAAUAUGACAAAGCGUAUAGGCGUGAAUCUCAACAAUAUGUAUUUUCACCUUAGGGGACAAGAAAAAAUUGACUUUUUUCUCCUGCCAUGGGGGGGCGCUCUUUUGGGGAGUAAAAAUUCCUUCACAAAUGUGUUGAUGGCUGGACAUUGCAUCAUCCUAGAAAACUUGGAGGCCAGUGAGGACAAAAAUAAAAAGUUAUAAGACUUUUAAAUAUGUGGAUUUUAGGGUUAUCUUUGGCGCCCCCUAGAACCUAAACCGUGGGGUGCAGCGUCAUGAUUUUGAUAACUUUUAAUGGCCAUGGGGUGUAGAUUGGCCUGAGCAAAUGUGGUGCCGGUGGAACGAAAGCCUUAGGAGGAGUUAGCCACAUUCCAAUGUGUGCGGAUCGGCAAAAAAUGCGGAAUAACCCUUUAACCGUACAUUUGACAGAUACGCGCUCAUAGACUUUUUUGUAGAUCUUAUUGAGAUACAUGUGUGUGUCAAUUUUUGUGUCAUUUUGCCAAAGCGUAAAGGCGUGACACUCAACAAUGUGUAUUUUCACCUUAGGGGUCAAGAAAAAAUGGACUUUUUUCUCCUGCCAUGGGGGGGCGCUCUUUUGGGGAGUAAAAAUUCCUUCACAAAUGUGUUGAUGGCUGGACAUUGCAUCAUCCUAGAAAACUUGGAGGCCAGUGAGGACAAAAAUAAAAAGUUAUAAGACUUUUAAAAAUGUGGAUUUUUGGGUUAUCUUUGGCGCCCCCUAGAACGUAAACCGUGGGGUGCAGCGUCAUGAUUUGAAUAACUUUUAAUGGCCAUGGGGUGUAGAUUGGCCUGAGCAAAUGUGGUGCCGGUGGAACGAAAGCCUUCAGAGGAGUUAGCGAAAUUCCAAUGUGUGCGGAUCGGCAAAAAAUGCGAAAUAACCCUUUAACCGUACAUUAGACAGAUACGCGCGCAUGGACUUUUUUGUAGAUCUUAUUGAGAUACAUGUGUGUGUCAAUUUUUGUGUCAUUUUGACAAAGCGUACAGGCGUGACAGUCAAUAGUGUGAAUUUUCACCUUAGGGGACAAGAAAAAAUGGACUUUUUUCUCCUGCCAUGGGGGGGGCGCUCUUUUGGGGAGUAAAAAUUCCUUCACAAAUGUGUUGAUGGCUGGACAUUGCAUCAUCCUAGAAAACUUGGAGGCCAGUGAGGGCAAAAAUAAAAAGUUAUAAGACUUUUAAAUAUGUGGAUUUUAGGGUUAUCUUUGGCGCCCCCUAGAACCUAAACCGUGGGGUGCAGCGUCAUGAUUUGAAUAACUUUUAAUGGCCAUGGGGUGUAGAUUGGCCUGAGCAAAUGUGGUGCCGGUGGAACGAAAGCCUUCAGAGGAGUUAGCGAAAUUCCAAUGUGUGCGGAUCGGCAAAAAAUGCGAAAUAACCCUUUAACCGUACAUUUGACAGAUACGCCCGCACUGACUUUUUUGUAGAUCUUAUUGAGAUACAUGUGUGUGUCAAUUUUUGUGUCAUUUUGACAAAGCGUACAGGCGUGACAGUCAAUAGUGUGAAUUUUCACCUUAGGGGGCGCUAUGGAGCCAUUUUGCAUUUUCUUGUUUGGGCGACUUCGGAAUAUCAAAUUUUUCACCAGGCCCGGUCGUCCUGCCAAAUUUCAUGAGUUUUCGCCAGUGGGAAGUGGGCCAUUUUCCAGUUCAAAGGGGAGGAAAAAGAAACUAGGGCCCCGUUGGGGCACUGGCGGGCCCGAGCCGUGUCGCGCUGCCCCCCCCAACACGCUGCCUCCCCGUCCCAUUCGCGUCCUCUGGCCAUCGUCCUCUCUGGUAACG